UACGGGGGGGACAAGCGUUGUUCGGAAUUACUGGGCGUAAAGGGCUCGUAGGCGGCCAACUAAGUCCGACGUGAAAUCCCCAGGCUUAACCUGGGAACUGCGUCGGAUACUGGAUGGCUUGAAUUCGGGAGAGGGAUGCAGAAUUCCAGGUGUAGCGGUGAAAUGCGUAGAUAUCAGGAGGAACACCAAUGGCGAAGGCAGCUCGCUGGAACGGUACUGACGCUGAGGCGCGAAAGCGUGGGGAGCGAACAGG
rnacentral:rRNA from 1 species